CAAGUCGAACGGCAGCACGGGUGCUUGCACCUGGUGGCGAGUGGCGAACGGGUGAGUAAUACAUCGGAACAUGUCCUGUAGUGGGGGAUAGCCCGGCGAAAGCCGGAUUAAUACCGCAUACGAUCUACGGAUGAAAGCGGGGGACCUUCGGGCCUCGCGCUAUAGGGUUGGCCGAUGGCUGAUUAGCUAGUUGGUGGGGUAAAGGCCUACCAAGGCGACGAUCAGUAGCUGGUCUGAGAGGACGACCAGCCAC
rnacentral:rRNA from 1 species